rnacentral:rRNA from 1 species
UACGUAGGGUGCAAGCGUUAAUCGGAAUUACUGGACGUAAAGCGUGCGCAGGCGGUUUUGUAAGUCUGUCGUGAAAUCCCCGGGCUUAACCUGGGAAUGGCGAUGGAGACUGCAAGGCUAGAGUUUGGCAGAGGGGGGUAGAAUUCCACGUGUAGCAGUGAAAUGCGUAGAGAUGUGGAGGAACACCGAUGGCGAAGGCAGCCCCCUGGGUCAAAACUGACGCUCAUGCACGAAAGCGUGGGGAGCAAACAGG